GACGAACGCUGGCGGCGUGCUUAACACAUGCAAGUCGAGCGAGGCCCCUCCUUCGGGAGGGUGUCCUAGCGGCGAACGGGUGAGUAACACGUGGGCAACCUGCCCUCAGCUCUGGGAUAACCCCGGGAAACCGGGGCUAAUACCGGAUACGACCUCCACGGGCAUCUGCGGAGGUGGAAAGGGUUUCCGGCUGAGGAUGGGCCCGCGGCCUAUCAGCUAGUUGGUGGGGUGAUAGCCCACCAAGGCGACGACGGGUAGCCGGCCUGAGAGGGCGACCGGCCACACUGGGACUGAGACACGGCCCAGACUCCUACGGGAGGCAGCAGUGGGGAAUAUUGCGCAAUGGGCGAAAGCCUGACGCAGCGACGCCGCGUGAGGGACGAAGGCCUUCGGUUGUAACC
rnacentral:rRNA from 1 species